CACUGUAUCUUUCUGUUUGCUCACAAACACACUGAAUAAAACUUAUAGAAAUAAAACGGAGGUAAAGUUGCACAAAAGAUAAGGAAUCACGGUACACAUACAGUAUAU